UUCAACAGCCUUGGUUUCUCAAAUGACUGUCUCGCCUGGUUCACCAACUACUUCUCAGAUAAGAGUUCAGUGUGUCAAAUGGACAUGGAGCAACUGCGAAAAAGAAAUGGCUGAGGAUAUGCUAAAAAUGUCUUAGUUCAACAAAGCCAACAACUGCUUCAUGUGUGCCACUGAUAGAGAACCUGAAUGUGGCCCAAAGACUGACUGGAUUGAAUGUUUUGCAUGACAACGGUGGUUCCACGUGCUGUAACUAGGAAUGAAGAGAAACGAGUUCAACAGAGCGAAGAACACAAACUGGAAGUGCUGUCUUUGUUGUUGAAAAUGUAUGCUUUUCCCCAUCCACACUGAAGAGGCUCUGACAUGUACAUCAACCAGGGAUAAAGAGGAAGUUAACACUGUGAAAUGUUUCAUACUUAACUGAAGUUAAGUGUCUGUUGACAUGUUGGAAAAGACUAAAGGUCUACAAUUUGUUGAA